GAGGUGGAGUGAGGCAGUGAGGGGUGUUAGAUUACAGUCAGAGUACAGUAUUAGUGUUUAUUAAAUGUAAGAGAAGUGGAGUGAGGCAGUGAGGGGUGUUAGAUUACAGUCAGAGUACAGUAUUAGUGUUUAUUAAAUGUAAGAGAAGUGGAGUGAGGCAGUGAGGGGUGUUGGAUUACAGUCAGAGUACAGUAUUAGUGUUUAUUAACUGUAAGAGAGGUGGA